rnacentral:rRNA from 1 species
AUUGAACGCUGGCGGCAGGCCUAACACAUGCAAGUCGAACGAGUGGCGGACGGGUGAGUAAUGUCUGGGAAACUGCCCGAUGGAGGGGGAUAACUACUGGAAACGGUAGCUAAUACCGCAUACCAUCGGAUGUGCCCAGAUGGGAUUAGCUAGUAGGUGGGGUAACGGCUCACCUAGGCGACGAUCCGUAGCUGGUCUGAGAGGAUGACCGGCGACACUGGAACUGGAAGGCGAUCCAGACGCCUACGGAGGGCAGCAGUGGGGAAUAUUGCACAAUGGGCACAAGCCGGAGGAAGCAAUGCCGCGUGUAUGAAGAAGGCCAUCGAGUUGUAAAGUACUUUCAGCGAGGAAGCGUUACUCGCAGAAGAAGCACCGGCUAACUCCGUGCCAGCAGCCGCGGUAAUAC